ACUAGUUAACUCCCUGACCCUGAAUGAGCUCCUUGACCUUCUCCCAUGACCUGGUGUCCUCCCAUCUUUUAAGAGCAGACAAUAUAGUACAGAGACAUUAGUUUUCUGCUUGGUGCUGGCCCAAGUGUGUGACCUCAGCCAAGUCACUUUUGCUCCCCAAAUCUGUUUUCUCAUCUGUCAGUGAGUGAGCUUGUUCCGAAUCUAGACUUCCCAGCAGGUGUGCUGCAGCCUGCAGGUGAGCCUCAGACUGGAAGCUCCAGGAGGCCAGGGACUGAAUGCUUAUCUUGGUUGCUGCUUUGCUCCUGGAUCCAACACAUAGUCCAAUCAUGUGCCUCAUGACUACAUUUCCGUCAAUGACGAACCGCGUAUGUGGUGAUGCUCCCAUAAGAUUAGUACCAUAUAGCCUAGGUGUGUAGAAGGCUAUGCCACCCAAGUUUGUGAAGAUUAGCCCUGAGCUAACUGCUGCCAAUCCUCCUCUUUUUGCUGAAGAAGACUGGCCCUGAGCCAACAUCUGUGCCCAUCUUCCUCUACUUUGUAUGUGGGACACCUACCACAGCAUGGCUUGCCAAGUGGUGCCACAUCCACACCCGGGAUCCGAAUCAGCAAACCCCAGGCUGCCGAAGCGGAACGUGCGCACUUAACUUCUGCCCCACUGGGCCAACCCCCAGUUGUUUGUAAUAUGCCUUUAUUAUUCAUUGAUAUAUGUGGAAUCUGUAUGGUUGCCAUGUCUCUCGUUACUUAUAUUGGUAAUUUGUGUCUUCUCUCUGUUUUUGCUGAUCAGCCUGGCUAAAAGUUUGUCAAUCCUAUCGAUAUUCUCAAAGAACUAACUUUUGAUUUCAUUGAUUUUUCUCUAUUGUUUUCUAUUUCAUUGAUUUCUGUUCUAAUCUUUAUUAGUAUCAGAACACUUUACUUUGCGCUUAAUUUGCUCUUUGUUUUCAAGCUUCUUAAGGCAGAAGCUUAGGUCUUUGAUUUGAUGCUUUAGUCUUUUCUUCUUUUCUAAUAUGGGCGUCUAGUGUUCUGAGUCCUCCUCCCCGUCAUUCUACCAGCCUAGUACUGCUUGAGCGACUUCCCACAAUUUUGAUUAGGUUGUGCUUCAUUAUUACUCAGUUCAAAAUACUUCCUAAUUUUC
rnacentral:lncRNA from 1 species